rnacentral:rRNA from 1 species
GUGCCAGCCGCCGCGGUAAUACGAAGGGUGCUAGCGUUGUUCGGAAUGACUGGGCGUAAAGGGCGUGUAGGCGGUCUUAUGCGUCAGAUGUGAAAGUCCUGGGCUCAACCUGGGGAUUGCAUUUGAUACGGUAAGACUAGAGGUUAUGAGAGGAGAGUGGAAUUGCGCAUGUAGAAGUGAAAUUCGUAGAUAUGCGCAGGAACAUCAGUGGCGAAGGCGACUCUCUGGUAUUAACCUGACGCUAAGGCGCGAAAGCGUGGGGAGCAAACAGGAUUAGAUACCCCGGUAGUCC